rnacentral:misc_RNA from 1 species
CCACACCUUCGCUUCGUCUGCGCUCGCACAGACCAAUUACAGCGUGUCUUACACGUGCCUGCCGCGGUCAGAGCGUACUUACGACAAGAUCGUAGAUACCUGGAAAGUUGGUCGCACUGGCAGUUCCUGUUCGCCACUGGCCAUGCACGGAGAACGGAACACACCGCUCCGAGAAGGCCGCACAUCUGCGGGACGCGACGUACGUGCAUUCCAAGAUUCACGGCCGGUCAGAAUUACGAAUUACGGCGUUUCUUGCCUAACUAAGAGCCGUACCUAUCUCUGUCUCAUGUCGAAGUACACGGUAAAUCGCACAAUUGAUAAAUUGCAAUAGAUAUGGUACGCCAGACAAGGGCCGAGGGAAGACAAAUAAAAC